GUUUCCUGAGACAGUGUCUCUACUGGACACUCACCAGUUAGGCUGGGCUGACUGGCAGCAAGUUCCGGGGAAUAGGAGUAUGCACCUCCACACUCAGCUGCUCACUGCAGAAGCGGCAUGUUCAGCACCAAUGGCACUUGUGCCCCAUGGCACGGCUGGGACUGCAAGUGUGUAACACGGGCAUGCACAGACAGAGUCCCAUUGUAUAUUCAGACUGGCCUGGACCUCUGUGUACAACCUUAGACUGGCCUCAAACAUCCCACCCCCAUGCCUCAACGUCUCAAGAGCUGGAUACAGACAAUCACUGUGAUUUCUGCAGGAUGCAGCUGAAACUUUUAUCAAGUCACAAGGCCCGGCCUGUACCCUUCUCUGCUUCCAGCUUCAUCCAUAACCAGCAUUUCUCUGUGGACAUCCUGAGGGGUCACCAGCCUCAUCUCACCCUUUAUUCCCCUAACGCUGUGUAUGCCUACCCCCUCACCCCAGGUGCUCCUACCCCGACUCUCCCUUGGCUGGCAGAGCUUUUGAAGGAAUUAUACCACUCUCUGUAGGGCUUGUCUUCCCUUCAGCCUCCCACACUUUGCCAGCUGCCAAAAUCAUCACACACUCAGAUAUCCACAGCUGUCCCUGC